rnacentral:rRNA from 1 species
AACGAACGCUGGCGGCAUGCCUAACACAUGCAAGUCGAACGAGACCUUCGGGUCUUUUGGCGCACGGGUGCGUAACGCGUGGGAACCUUCCCUUAGGGUCGGAAUAACUCCCCGAAAGGGGUGCUAAUACCGGAUAAUGUCUUCGGACCAAAGAUUUAUCGCCUUUGGAUGUGCCCGCGUUGGAUUAGCUUGUUGGUAGGGUAAAAGCCUACCAAGGCGACGAUCCAUAGCUGGGCAGAGAGGAUGGUCAGCCACACUGGGACUGGGACGCGGCCCAGAAUCUUACGGGAGGCGGCAGUGGGGAAUAUUGCAAAAUGGGCGAAAGCAUGAUGCAGCAAUGACGCGUGAGUGAUGAAGGCCUUAGGGUAGUAAAGCGCUUUUACCCGGGAUGAUAAUGACGGUACCGGGAGAAUAAGCUCCGGCUAACUCCGUG